GUCAUGGCUAAGUGAUAAAGCACUUGCCUGACAUGCAUGAGGCCCUGGGUUCAAUCCUCAGCACCACA
rnacentral:tRNA from 1 species